AGUGAAGCGGCAACAGCUCAAAUUUGAAAUCUGGCCUCGGCCCGAGUUGUAAUUUGCAGAGGAAGCUUUAGGCGCGGCACCUUCUGAGUCCCCUGGAACGGGGCGCCAUAGAGGGUGAGAGCCCCGUAUAGUUGGAUGCCUAGCCUGUGUAAAGCUCCUUCGACGAGUCGAGUAGUUUGGGAAUGCUGCUCAAAAUGGGAGGUAAAUUUCUUCUAAAGCUAAAUACCGGCCAGAGACCGAUAGCGCACAAGUAGAGUGAUCGAAAGAUGAAAAGCACUUUGAAAAGAGGGUUAAAUAGCACGUGAAAUUGUUGAAAGGGAAGCGCUUGUGACCAGACUUGCGCCGGGCAGAUCAUCCGGUGUUCUCACCGGUGCACUCUGCCCGGCUCAGGCCAGCAUCGGUUCUCGCGGGGGGAUAAAGGCGUCGGGAACGUAGCUCCUCCGGGAGUGUUAUAGCCCGUCGCGUAAUGCCCUCGCGGGGACCGAGGUUCGCGCAUCUGCAAGGAUGCUGGCGUAAUGGUCAUCAGCGACCCGUCUUGAAACACGGACCAAGGAGUCAAGGUUUUGCGCGAGUGUUUGGGUGUAAAACCCGCACGCGUAAUGAAAGUGAACGUAGGUGAGAGCUUCGGCGCAUCAUCGACCGAUCCUGAUGUUUUCGGAUGGAUUUGAGUAGGAGCGUUAAGCCUUGGACCCGAAAGAUGGUGAACUAUGCUUGGAUAGGGUGAAGCCAGAGGAAACUCUGGUGGAGGCUCGCAGCGG
rnacentral:rRNA from 1 species